rnacentral:rRNA from 1 species
GACGAACGCUGGCGGCGUGCUUAACACAUGCAAGUCGAACGGAAAGGCCCUGCUUUUGUGGGGUGCUCGAGUGGCGAACGGGUGAGUAACACGUGGGUAACCUGCCCUUGACUUUGGGAUAACUUCAGGAAACUGGGGCUAAUACCGGAUAGGAGCUCCUGCUGCCUGGUGGGGGUUGGAAAGUUUCGGCGGUUGGGGAUGGACUCGCGGCUUAUCAGCUUGUUGGUGGGGUAGUGGCUUACCAAGGCUUUGACGGGUAGCCGGCCUGAGAGGGUGACCGGCCACAUUGGGACUGAGAUACGGCCCAGACUCCUACGGGAGGCAGCAGUGGGGAAUAUUGCACAAUGGGCGGAAGCCUGAUGCAGCAACGCCGCGUGCGGGAUGACGGCCUUCAGGUUGUAAACCGCUUUCGCCUGUGACGAAGCGUGAGUGACGGUAAUGGGUAAAGAAGCACCGGCUAACUACGUG